GUGACUGAGGCACAUCUUUUUUACAUUUUGACCGAAAGGAUUUGACAUAUUCUUAAGGGGCAUAACCCCCGUUAACGGUUUCUGAAAAGGUAAAAUUAGCCUAAACUCUUGAACGAAAAGUCCUAGACCCAUGGGGUCUUUUACAAUGACAUUGGGGACUAAUGACCUUGACAAAGGUCACAAGGUCAAAGGUCAAGGUCAUGUCCUAUAUAGCGAAUUAUGUAUUUUUGACCUAAUUUAAAG
rnacentral:lncRNA from 1 species